AAACCCGGGAAAAGCACCAGGAU
rnacentral:snRNA from 1 species